UGCGUAGGUGGUCGCUCGUGUCGGGUGUGAAAGCCCACGGCUUAACCGUGGAACUGCAUUCGAAACUGGGCGACUGGAGUACAGGAAGGGAGAGCGGAAUUCUUGGUGUAGCGGUGAAAUGCGUUGAUAUCAAGAAGAACACCGGUGGCGAAGGCGGCUCUCUGGAAUGUUACUGACACUGAGGCACGAAAGCUGGGGAGGCAAACA
rnacentral:rRNA from 1 species